UACGAAGGGGGCUAGCGUUGCUCGGAAUCACUGGGCGUAAAGGGUGCGUAGGCGGGUCUUUAAGUCAGGGGGUGAAAUCCCGGGGCUCAACCCCGGAACUGCCUUUGAUACUGGAUAUCUUGAGUUCGGAAGAGGUAAGUGGAAUUGCGAGUGUAGAGGUGAAAUUCGUAGAUAUUCGCAGGAACACCAGUGGCGAAGGCGGCUUACUGGUCCGAUACUGACGCUGAGGUGCGAAAGCGUGGGGAGCAAACAGG
rnacentral:rRNA from 1 species